rnacentral:snRNA from 1 species
UCAGCUCUCAUUGCCUUUUGGCUCUGAUCAAGUGUAGUAACUGUUCUUUCUCUUUUAAUCUUGAGAACGCCCCUACGGGGGUCAGAUUACUCUUGCUUGUUUUUGGAAACCGCCUCUGGGGCUGCUGAGCUCCGCUCAUCUUCAGAGGCACGGUGUCGCCUGUAUUGCACUGUCUCGGGCUGACGCGACCCUCA